CCUACGGGUGGCUGCAGUGGGGAAUAUUGGACAAUGGGGGCAACCCUGAUCCAGCCAUGCCGCGUGUGUGAAGAAGGCCCUCGGGUUGUAAAGCACUUUCAGUGAGGAAGAACGCCUGGUGGUUAAUACCCAUCAGGAAAGACAUCACUCACAGAAGAAGCACCGGCUAACUCCGUGCCAGCAGCCGCGGUAAUACGGAGGGUGCGAGCGUUAAUCGGAAUUACUGGGCGUAAAGCGCGCGUAGGUGGCUUGAUAAGCCGGUUGUGAAAGCCCCGGGCUCAACCUGGGAACGGCAUCCGGAACUGUCAAGCUAGAGUGCAGGAGAGGAAGGUAGAAUUCCCGGUGUAGCGGUGAAAUGCGUAGAGAUCGGGAGGAAUACCAGUGGCGAAGGCGGCCUUCUGGGCUGACACUGACACUGAGGUGCGAAAGCGUGGGUAGCAAACAGGAUUAGAUACCCCAGUAGUC
rnacentral:rRNA from 1 species